GGUUGGAUGGCCGAGCGGUCUAAGGCGCCAGACUAAGGAUCCACAUCGAUUUAGAUGUUCAACUUAUCGAUUUCAUUAUCGGUAAUCUGGUCCGAAAGGGCAUGGGUUCGAAUCCCAUUCCAAUCA